GACGAACGCUGGCGGCGUGCCUAAUACAUGCAAGUCGAGCGGACCGAACAGGAGCUUGCUCUUGUUCGGUUAGCGGCGGACGGGUGAGUAACACGUGGGUAACCUGCCCGUAAGACCGGGAUAACUCCGGGAAACCGGAGCUAAUACCGGAUAACACCGAAGACCGCAUGGUCUUUGGUUGAAAGGCGGCUUCGGCUGCCCCUUACGGAUGGGCCCGCGGCGCAUUAGCUAGUUGGUGAGGUAACGGCUCACCAAGGCGACGAUGCGUAGCCGGCCUGAGAGGGUGACCGGCCACACUGGGACUGAGACACGGCCCAGACUCCUACGGGAGGCAGCAGUAGGGAAUCUUCCGCAAUGGACGAAAGUCUGACGGAGCGACGCCGCGUGAGCGAAGAAGGUCUUCGGAUCGUAAAGCUCUGUUGUUAGGGAAGAAGAAGCGUCGUUCGAACAGGGCGGCGCGGUGACGGUACCUAACGAGAAAGCCCCGGCUAACUACGUG
rnacentral:rRNA from 1 species